AUCAUUAUUAUUAUUAUUAUUAUUAUUAUUAUUAUUAUUAUUAUAGUGAGGCCCUUCCAUUGCACUUCGGUUGGGUUGACCUUUGCGAUCGCCCUAAAUGUGGGCGACUCGGGUUCGCUAUUUCUAAGUGUGGGGUCUGCGUUCGCGCUCACCCCGG